GUGUUAGAUUCUACAGCACAUUUAGUAAAUUGGUAUCGUACAAAGAAGAUAAAUAUGGCCUCUGUGCAGUAUGACAUGCAAAUUUGGGAAUCAUUCCAUAUUUUU
ensembl:snRNA U6 U6 spliceosomal RNA